rnacentral:rRNA from 1 species
GAUGAACGCUGGCGGCGUGCCUAAUACAUGCAAGUCGAGCGAACAGACGAGGAGCUUGCUCCUCUGACGUUAGCGGCGGACGGGUGAGUAACACGUGGAUAACCUACCUAUAAGACUGGGAUAACUUCGGGAAACCGGAGCUAAUACCGGAUAAUAUAUUGAACCGCAUGGUUCAAUAGUGAAAGACGGUUUUGCUGUCCCUUUUAGAUGGAUCCGCGCCGCAUUAGCUAGUUGGUAAGGUAACGGCUUACCAAGGCAACGAUGCGUAGCCGACCUGAGAGGGUGAUCGGCCACACUGGAACUGAGACACGGUCCAGACUCCUACGGGGGGCAGCAGUAGGGAAUCUUCCGCAAUGGGCGAAAGCUUGACGGAGCAACGCCGCGUGAGUGAUGAAGGUCUUCGGAUCGUAAAACUCUGUUAUUAGGGAAGAACAAAUGUGUAAGUAACUAUGCACGUCUUGACGGUACCUAAUCAGAAAGCCACGGCUAACUACGUG